CAUCAUGGGACUUGAAUCCACGUCCACAGGGUUAAGAGCCUUGUGCUUUACCAGCUGAGCAGUGGAC
rnacentral:tRNA from 1 species